CUGAGUGAAUGCUGAAAAAAAAAAAAAAAAAAGAUCUCAGGGACCUGUGGAUAAAUGGACUCUGGAAGUGUGACAGCACCUAUCACAACUUGAGGAAUGAUUUUGACCAUUGUCAGUGGAGUUACUCUGAAUCGCGGAUUUGGGACUUACCAGACCCAGGCUGCCAGAGUGAACUAAUGACUUCAGAAUGGAAGACAGAUGCUUCCUGCAGGAGAAUUCCCCUGCAGGCAGAGAACCCUUAACCAGGGCUGGUUCCAGAACUUGUGAGCCCUGGUGCAAAAUGAAAAUGGGGGACCCCUUGUUCAAAAGUCAGGGGAAAAAGUGUCAUUAAAGAUACUAAAAUAUAAAGUUUUCCCCCUUCUCCCACAGUA